rnacentral:rRNA from 1 species
GAUGAACGCUGGCGGCGUGCCUAAUACAUGCAAGUCGAGCGAACAGAUGAGGAUCUUGCUCCUCUGACGUUAGCGGCGGACGGGUGAGUAACACGUGGAUAACCUACCUAUAAGACUGGGAUAACUUCGGGAACCCGGAGCUAAUACCGGAUAAUAUAUUGAACCGCAUGGUUCAAUAGUGAAAGCCGGUUUUGCUGUCACUUAUAGAUGGUUCCGCGCCGCAUUAGCUAGUUGGUACGGUAACGGCUUACCAAGGCAACGAUGCGUAGCCGACCUGAGAGGGUGAUCGGCCACACUGGAACUGAGACACGGUCCAGACUCCUACGGGAGGCAGCAGUAGGGAAUCUUCCGCAAUGGGCGAAAGCUUGACGGAGCAACGCCGCGUGAGUGAUGAAGGUCUUCGGAUCGUAAAACUCUGUUAUUAGGGAGGAACAAAUGUGUAAGUAACUAUGCACGUCUUGACGGUACCUAAUCAGAAAGCCACGGCUAACUACGUG